rnacentral:sRNA from 1 species
UCCAGCAGCCGCGGUAAUACGGAGGGUGCGAGCGUUGUCCAGAAUCACUGGGCGUAAAGGGCGCGUAGGUGGCAGGGCAAGCGUGCGGUGAAAGCCCGGGGCUCAACUCCGGGUCGGCCGUGCGAACUGCCUUGCUCGAGCACGGUAGAGGCAGGUGGAAUUCCGGGUGUAGCGGUGGAAUGCGUAGAGAUCCGGAAGAACACCGGUGGCGAAGGCGGCCUGCUGGGCCGUGGCUGACACUGAGGCGCGACAGCGUGGGGAGCAAACAGGAUUAGAUACCCUGGUAGUCCACGCCGUAAACGAUGGGCACUAGGUGCUUGGGGGAGCGACCCCCUGGGUGCCGGCGCUAACGCAUGAAGUGCCCCGCCUGCGGAGUACGGCCGCAAGGCUGAAACUCAAAGGAAUUGACGGGGGCCCGCACAAGCGGUGGAACAUGUGGUUUAAUUCGA